GUCUCUGUUCUUCUUCUCCAGUGGCGAAAAAUUAGGGUUCCAUCUUCUUCACUUCAGUGGACGACCAACCCAGGUACUUUUUCUUCUCCUUUCUUCUUGUUUUAUCUUUCUUCUUCUUCCAUCUUCUUCUUCAGUCGACGAGUUCUUCAGGCGAUCUUCUUCUUCAUUUUUUUCUUCUUUCUCUCUCUGUCGACGACACAGUGAUGGACUUUCUGUCCAGUUGGACUUUUUUCUUCUUCUUUCUCUCCAGUCGAACUUUU
rnacentral:lncRNA from 1 species